GAGGGGGUGUCGGAGUGGCCAAACGAGCAGGAUUUAAGCUCCUGUGGCUUAGUGCCUACGCAGGUUCGAAUCCUGUCCCCCUCA
rnacentral:tRNA from 2 species